AAUUACUCUUCGAUCUUAACUUUUGCUUUCCUCACCUGAGAAGCAAAAAACCUUCGUCGGAAUAUUCAAGUCUCUCGCCGGAAUCACCAAACUAUUCAUCGAAAUCUUCAUCCUACUCGUCGGAAUCUUCAUCAUACUCAUCGGAAACUUCAUCCUAUUCUUCAGAUUUCCCUAGACCUUCAAACCUUUAUAAAACUAUCGAGCAAAGGCCCAAACAGUUCGGUAUCUUUGGAUUUGGGUUUAAAAUAGUCCUAUUUCUUUCUCAUGGACCAUUAAUAGUCCACCUUCUUUUACAAAGUGGCACGGAUUCAGUCUAGAAGCAAACCACCGUGAGAAUUCUAAUAGAAGUCAUACUCACGUGAGCCUCACGUGUUUCCCUCUUUUAAAAAGAAUCAGAAUUAUCUCCAUAUCUUUGUCAAAACAACAUUGAAUAUGGUCCGUUCUUUUCCCCCAAUUCUUCAUAACCCUAAUUUAUAAAUUGGUGAGACCUAAAAGUGAAAAUCAGGUGCGACACAUGGAGUUGUUGUUGAAGAAAGACGGAAAGAGAGACAUUUGUGCGUGGAAUUGCAAGAAUUUUGAAUCUUUUAAAGUUCUUGGGCAGACUUACCAAUACUUGAUGAAAUUAAUUCUAGUUUCGAGGAAGUAGUGAAAAACUAAACUGCGAAGACUGAGAUGAGUUGUUCCGUUCAUAAAGUCAAUCAAGUCGAAGCUAAAAUCGAAAAACUAAAAAUUAAAGAGGAAAAAAUUGAGGCAAACGGAAGCUGAAAUUCUACAACUAUAGGAGAAAAAGAUCAAGAUCAAAAUGCCUUGCGACAGUCACUUGGUUAAUGGUGUUGUGUUCUUAUGAUGUUGUAACAUGCAGAUUGCAAAAUGGGCGUCUUAUACCCCAAAAUAUAAGCAGUUUUCCAUAACUAACUGUACACUUUUCUACUGUAAUGGAUGAUAUAAAUGAAUGAAUAAUACUUCAAUGUUUUAUUACU